UGGGGAAUUUUGCGCAAUGGGGGAAACCCUGACGCAGCAACGCCGCGUGCGGGACGAAGGCCUUCGGGUUGUAAACCGCUUUCAGCAGGGAAGACAUAGACGGUACCUGCAGAAGAAGCUCCGGCUAACUACGUGCCAGCAGCCGCGGUAAUACGUAGGGGGCGAGCGUUAUCCGGAUUCAUUGGGCGUAAAGCGCGCGUAGGCGGCCGCCUAAGCGGAACCUCUAAUCCCGGGGCUCAACCUCGGGCCGGGUUCCGGACUGGGCGGCUCGAGUGCGGUAGAGGCAGGCGGAAUUCCCGGUGUAGCGGUGGAAUGCGCAGAUAUCGGGAAGAACACCGAUGGCGAAGGCGGCCAACUGGGCUUUUACUGACGCUGAGGCUCGAAAGUGUGGGGAGCAAACAGGAUUAGAUACCC
rnacentral:rRNA from 1 species